CCUUUACUUAAAACAAAAAAUUAGCCAGAUAUGGUGGUGCACACCUGUAGUCCCAGUUACUCAGGAGGCUAAGGUGGGAGGAUCGCUUGAACCUGGCAGGUCGAGGCUGCAGUGAGCCAAGAUCACACAACUGCACUCCAGCCUGGGCAAGAGAGCAAGUCCCUAUCUCAACAAAAAAAAAAAAAAAAGUUGGCCAUCCUAACGUGGAGCCUGAAGACGGGACUGAACUGCUGCCAUCUCAGGAUAAAACUCUAACAGAAUCUACUCCAGGCAAAGAUGUUGUGAACUGUGUUGAAAUGACAAGGAAUGAGAACAUUAUAUAAACUUAGUUGAUACAGCA